CCUUCGCUCUCCUUUCCGCAUUCAAAUCCCCCACCGACUCGCCUCACUUUCUUCCGCGAUGAAUCCUACGAAACCUAGUCGUCGAUCGUACUCACCCUUCGGAAGCACCGGUGCGCUGUUUCAUCGGAUUGGAUGUGCGCAACAACGAUCGAGAGAUCCAAUCCGGAAGGGAGAGAGAUAUCGGAAAGGUUUGCAUAACACAUCUGCCUUGCCAACCAGAAACAUACAUUGUACAGGUGUCAAGUAGUGCAAGAUGACCACUGUGCCAAACAGUGUGCUUGAAUGCGAAAGAGGAGAGCUGCGUUGCUAGUGGAGCCAAAUUCAUUGCAGGUGAAUUAGUGGGCGCCGGAGACUCGUGCGUGUCUACGACCUUUUCUAACACAAACAGAUGUUUGACAGGUAUGCACUGACGCAUUAGCUUUAUUUUAUCCCUGAAGAUAAUGCUAUAAUAUUGGGAUCACUUCCCUAUCACUGCUCCAAUAGCUCUAUGGAAACCACACAGCUUCACCACUUGGGUAGAAAAUAGUUUAAACAUAAAAGGGGGCAAAAGGUCCUCUUCCUACUAUUCCCUCUCUCUCCUCCUCCAAGGCCUUGCCAUGAAGGGGGUGUGAGCAACUAAGUUAGGAAGUACAGACAAGACAAAGCGGUUUGGUCGAAGCACUUUGCAUUUUAUACAGAACGAUUCUUGGACUCAAUGUGGAGCUUUUCAUGAAAGCUUUUUUCAGGC